GGAAGCCCUUGCACUGAGGGAGACUUGUUGUGGCUCAGGGAUGCUGCCGUGGAGCACCUCUACUAGAUAGAUCCGAAGGACAACUACGGGGCAUGUCAGUGGUGGUGAAAAGACAGGAAGGCUCCCAGUGAUGGAUGAAAGUGGCAGGAGAGGCUCACGGGGGUAUCUCUCUCCUCACCAGUCCUUGGCAGCUGGGACCUCACCUAAAGGUCCAUUCCAAGAGGGAUGUCCUCAAACACGUGGCACCAUCUCUUCAAGGAGAACUUUGCCACCAUUUGAGCCUGAAUAAACCACCCAUCCCCUUUGCCUUCAGCAGCCUCCGAAUGUCUCCCCUACGUCCCACCUCAGCGACCCAAGAUCUUCUCUCCAUCCCCAGCAGCAUCCCGGUUGCUUUGCAGGGCCGUGUGCGGGGAGGAAGGCAACCUUCGCCACCUAGUGAGCAACCCUCACCAGCACUGGCACCUGUGGCUGAAGGGAAGGCUUAUCCUCUGCUCCCAUGAAAAACCCUUUUUUCUCCCCUCUCCAAGAAUACACCAUGCUGAAACCUAUAGAGCAUUUUCCUACCCACAGUCAU
rnacentral:lncRNA from 1 species